rnacentral:misc_RNA from 1 species
UCCGGUUUGACACCGGCAGUCUCCUAUGAGUCCCCGCCAUUACGCGCUGGCAACAUAGAACAGGGGUUGCGCUCGUUGCGGGACUUAACCCAACAUCUCACGACACGUGCUGACGACAGCCAUGCACCACCUGUGCACGACGCCGAAGCACACCGUGUUUCCACGGCUUUUCCGUGCAUGUCAAGCCCAGGUAAGGUGGGGAUGACGUUUCCAGGUUAGG